rnacentral:lncRNA from 1 species
AAAGAUAAUUAUUAAUUUUCAGAAAACAAGAAGUCCUUUGCUGAUAAGAUCUUCGGAAUGAUUCAAUGCAAUUACAACAGAAGUCCUAAAAACUUCAUCUUUUUUUAAGACCACAAAAGUAAAAAUGAACACAUCGGGUGCCUCAAGACAUAAAAAACCAAGAUUUUUUAAUUAUAUAUUUAAAACAUA